GAGAGCCCCGUACACGAAAACGCCGCACCUCCCGAGUUGUAUCCCAAGUAGCACCGAGCCCGUGAAAUUCGGUGUGAAUCUGGCGGGACCACCCGCUAAGCCUAAAUACUCCUUGGUGACCGAUAGCGGACAAGUACCGUGAGGGAAAGGUGAAAAGUACCCCGGGAGGGGAGUGAAAUAGUUCCUGAAACCAUGUGCUUACAAUCCGUCAGAGCAUGUGUUUAUGUGUGAUGGCCUGCCUUUUGCAGAAUGAGCCUGCGAGUCAGCGGCAUGUCGCGAGGUUAACCCGUGUGGGGUAGCCGUAGGGAAACCGAAUCCUAAUGAGGGUGUUUGUAGUGGCAUGUUCUGGACCCGAAGCGGGGUGAUCUACCCAUGGCCAGUGUGAAGCGAUGGUAAGACGUCGUGGAGGCGCGAACCCACGUAGGUUAAAAACUGCGGGGAUGAGUUGUGGGUAGGGGUGAAAGGCUAAUCAAACUGGGAAAUAGCUCGUACUCCCCGAAAUGUUUUUAGGAACAGC
rnacentral:rRNA from 1 species